rnacentral:rRNA from 1 species
UACGGGGGGGGCAAGCGUUGUUCGGAAUUACUGGGCGUAAAGGGCUCGUAGGUGGCCAAUUAAGUCAGACGUGAAAUCCCCAGGCUCAACUUGGGAACUGCGUCUGAUACUGGUUGGCUUGAAUUCGGGAGAGGGAUGCAGAAUUCCAGGUGUAGCGGUGAAAUGCGCAGAUAUCGGGAGGAACACCAGUGGCGAAGGCAGCCCUCUGGGACGGUACUGACGCUGAGACGCGAAAGCGUGGGGAGCGAACAGG